rnacentral:misc_RNA from 1 species
AAUAAUAUACAAAAUUAAUUUUCAAUCUUAAAAUUUAAACCUUAAACAACGGAUGUCUUGGCUCUUUACACGAAGAAGAACAUUGCAUAAUGUGAUAAGCGACUAGAUUAGCUCAAUUUGUGAUAAGUUCGAUCUUUGAAUGCAUAUUGCGUAUUUAUUAAUUUAUUAAUAAAUACAUAUAUAAUUUAGUAACAAAUAAUAAUUAAUUAAUCAUUUUA